rnacentral:rRNA from 1 species
UACGUAGGGUGCGAGCGUUGCCCGGAUUUAUUGGGCGUAAAGGGCGCGUAGGCGGCUCUGCACGUCCGUUGUGAAAUCGCCCGGCUCAACUGGGCGGGGUCAGCGGAUACGGCAGAGCUCGAGCAAGCUAGGGGGCAAUGGAAUUCCCGGUGUAGUGGUGGAAUGCGUAGAUAUCGGGAGGAACACCAGUGGCGAAGGCGACUCUUUGGUCUGUAACUGACGCUGAGGCGCGAAAGCGUGGGGAGCAAACAGG